GGUUUCGUAGUCUAGUCGGUUAUGGCGUCUGCUUCACACGCAGGAGGUCCCCAGUUCGAUCCUGGGCGGAACCA
rfam:Pichia sorbitophila strain CBS 7064 chromosome N complete sequence.